GACGAACGCUGGCGGCGUGCCUAAUACAUGCAAGUCGAACGCAGGGGGGACGGGUGAGUAACACGUGGGUAACCUCCCAUCAGAGGGGAUAACACUUGGAAAAAGGUGCUAAACCGAUACUGGAGGAUGGAGUCGGGGGGCAUUAGCUAGUGGGUGGGGUAACGGCUCACCAAGGCCGCGAUGCAUAGCGGACCUGAGAGGGGGAUCGGCCACACUGGGACUGAGACACGGCCCAGACUCCUACGGGAGGCAGCAGUAGGGAAGCUUCGGCAAUGGGCGAAAGUCUGACCGAGCAACGCCGCGUGAGUGAAGAAGGUUUUCGGAUCGUAAAACUCUGUUGUUAGAGAAGCGGUAUCUAACCAGAAAGCCACGGCUAACUACGUGCCAGCAGCCGCGGUAAUUC
rnacentral:rRNA from 1 species